GGUUGGUUGGUUGUAGGCUUUGGUUGGUUGUAGGUUUUGGUUGGUUGUAGGUUUUGGUUGGUUGGUUGUAGGUUUUGGUUGGUUGUAGGCUUUGGUUGGUUGGUUGUAGGUUUUGGUUGGUUGUAGGCUUUGGUUGGUUGGUUGGUUGUAGGUUUUGGUUGGUUGGUUGUAGAUUUUGGUUGGUUGGUUGUAGGCUUUGGUUGGUUGGUUGUAGGUUUUGGUUGGUUGUAGGCUUUGGUUGGUUGUAGGUUUUGGUUGGUUGUAGGUUUUGGUUGGUUGGUUGUAGGUUUUGGUUGGUUGUAGGCUUUGGUUGGUUGGUUGUAGGCUUUGGUUGGUUGUAGGCUUUGGUUGGUUGUAGGUUUUGGUUGGUUGGUUGUAGG